rnacentral:rRNA from 1 species
CUUCAAGAGAGGGAUAGCCCCGGGAAACUGGGAUUAAUACCUCAUGGUAUCAUAAAGCCGCAUGGUUUAAUGAUUAAAGCUCCGGCGCUUGAAGAUGGGCGUGCGUUCUAUUAGAUAGUUGGUGAGGUAACGGCUCACCAAGUCAGCGAUAGAUAGGGGGCGUGAGAGCGUGGUCCCCCACACGGGUACUGAGACACGGACCCGACUCCUACGGGAGGCAGCAGUAAGGAAUAUUGGACAAUGGGCGCAAGCCUGAUCCAGCCAUUCCGCGUGUAGGAUGACGGCCCUCUGGGUUGUAAACUACUUUUAUUUGGGAAGAAACCCCGGGAUUUAU